rnacentral:rRNA from 1 species
GAUGAACGCUGGCGGCGUGCCUAAUACAUGCAAGUCGAGCGAACAGACGAGGAGCUUGCUCCUCUGACGUUAGCGGCGGACGGGUGAGUAACACGUGGAUAACCUACCUAUAAGACUGGGAUAACUUCGGGAAACCGGAGCUAAUACCGGAUAAUAUAUUGAACCGCAUGGUUCAAUAGUGAAAGACGGUUUUGCUGUCACUUAUAGCUGGAUCCGCGCCGCAUUAGCUAGUUGGUAAGGUAACGGCUUACCAAGGCAACGAUGCGUAGCCGACCUGAGAGGGUGAUCGGCGACACUGGAACUGAGACACGGUCCAGACUCCUACGGGAGGCAGCAGUAGGGAAUCUUCCGCAAUGGGCGAAAGCCUGACGGAGCAACGCCGCGUGAGUGAUGAAGGUCUUCGGAUCGUAAAACUCUGUUAUUAGGGAAGAACAAAUGUGUAAGUAACUAUGCACGUCUUGACGGUACCUAAUCAGAAAGCCACGGCUAACUACGUG